GCGGAGGUUGUCAAAGUCGUCCCUUGUCACUGGUUGAAGAUUGUCAAUGCCAUCUGACUCUGUUAGUCCUGAAAUAAAGUUUGUCUUUCAUUAGUAGAAGUACAUGGCGAGCACAGUUUAGGUUCUAAAUACAGCAAGCUCAAGCAUGUCAGUGCACACAAAAUGUCAAGAAAUGGUGUCGUGGCAUGCGUCAAGAGUUCCAAGGCAUGCUACUGUGAUCUUUACUUUCCUUGUGAGCUUACAUAUUGGGUUUCUAUCUUCAAGGCCAAGCUAAGCUGUCUAGCAAUUUUUGUUUGGUGCUUCUGUUUGUUACUGUGUUUUGUUAUAAGAAAAAAUUGAGAGGAGGCACUAGAAAGACAAAGAUUUUGUGCAGUACUGCGUGUAGUUAGGGCUGUUUGUGGAGAACACACCAUUGCAAAUGGCAUUAUCUAAUGAGUGGUGCAUCGAAGUUGUUCCUGAUGCUAGCAUCAAUAUUGCCAUUUUUUAUUGUCUAAAAAUAAUGUAGGAUAGGCUGCGAGCUUCCCAACUAUCUACCUGAAGUGUCCCAUGGCCAAGGAAGGGAAAA